rnacentral:RNase_MRP_RNA from 1 species
GGGGAAAGUCCCCGGACCUUGGGCCGAGAGGGUCAGCGGGAAACCGCAAAGCAACGGCGCUUAUGACAGACUCUGGCGAAGACGGGUGCCGGCAACGUCAUCCUGAGUCACUGUGCUGUCAUUGCCGUUGCUGCUCGUCUUAGCAAAGUUAUGCAAUCGGGGUUGUUUGGCUGCCGUCGUGUCGGCCUGCAACUUCAACUCAACGGGGCUUACUCUCGUC